AACGAACGCUGGCGGCAUGCCUAACACAUGCAAGUCGAACGAAGGCUUCGGCCUUAUUGGCGCACGGGUGGGUAACGCGUGGGAAUCUGCCCUUGGGUUCGGAAUAACAGCGGGAAACUGCUGCUAAUACCGGUUGGUGUCGUAAGUCCAAAGAUUUAUCGCCCAAGGAUGAGCGCGGGUAGGAUUAGCUGGUUGGGGGGGUAAAGGCCCACAAAGGCGACGAUGCUUAGCUGGUCUGAGAGGAUGAUCAGGCACACUGGGAAUGAGACACGGCCCAGACUCCUACGGGAGGCAGCAGUGGGGAAUACUGGACAAUGGGGGCAGGCCUGAUCAAGCAAUGCCGCGUGAGUGAUGAAGGCCUUAGGGUUGUAAAGCUCUUUUACACGGGAUGAUAAUGACAGUAACGGGAGAAUAAGCUCCGGCUAACUACGUG
rnacentral:rRNA from 1 species